UUUUCGUAGGUGAACCUGCGGAAGGAUCAUUACAGAGCUGCGACUCCCUCGGGAGCCAUCUCCACCCCUUGACUACCAAAUAUUGUUGCUUUGGCGGGCCCGUCUUACGACCGCCGGGAGUUUGGAACCACUGAACUUUUCGGCCCGUGCCCGUCAGUAGCCCAUUUACAAAUUCUUGACAAAUUGUGAUGUCUGAGUUAUAGACUUAAUAGUUAAAACUUUCAACAACGGAUCUCUUGGUUCUG
rnacentral:misc_RNA from 1 species